AAAACCCGCACGCCGGAAGACCAAGGGUUCCUGUCCAACGUUAAUCGGGGCAGGGUGAGUCGACCCCUAAGGCGAGGCAGAAAUGCGUAGUCGAUGGGAAACAGGUUAAUAUUCCUGUACUGGUGAUAAUUGCGAUGGGGGGACGGAGAAGGCUAGGCUAUCCGGGCGACGGUUGUCCCGGUUUAAGGAUGUAGGCAGGUGAAUUAGGCAAAUCCGGUUCACUAUAUGCUGAGGUCUGAUGACGAGUCACUACGGUGAUGAAGUAGCUCAUGCCCCGCUUCCAGGAAAAGCCUCUAAGCUCUAGAUUAUCAUUAAUCGUACCCCAAACCGACACAGGUGGUCAGGUAGAGAAUACUCAGGCGCUUGAGAGAACUCGGGUGAAGGAACUAGGCAAAAUGGUGCCGUAACUUCGGGAGAAGGCACGCUGGCGCUAGGUGAAGUGGUUUACCCAUGGAGCUGAAGCCAGUCGCAGAUACCAGCUGGCUGCAACUGUUUAUUAAAAACACAGCACUGUGCAAACACGAAAGUGGACGUAUACGGUGUGACGCCUGCCCGGUGCUGGAAGGUUAAUUGAUGGGGUUAUCCGUAAGGAGAAGCUCUUGAUCGAAGCCCCAGUAAACGGCGGCCGUAACUAUAACGGUCCUAAGGUAGCGAAAUUCCUUGUCGGGUAAGUUCCGACCUGCACGAAUGGCGUAAUGAUGGCCAGGCUGUCUCCACCCGAGACUCAGUGAAAUUGAACUCGCUGUGAAGAUGCAGUGUACCCGCGGCAAGACGGAAAGACCCCGUGAACCUUUACUAUAGCUUGACACUGAACAUUGAGCCUUGAUGUGUAGGAUAGGUGGGAG
rnacentral:rRNA from 1 species